UUUAGAACCUGUCUCUCUUUCAUUCUCCUAGAGGUGAAUCGUCAUGUACUUCUUGCAAGGAACACUCCUCCUGAAGCCAAGGGCUCCAGCAAAGUGUUUCUGCCAAAAUAUGUUCGGGCUAUGCACUUACCUACUCAACCCUAUGUAUUCCCUACUCCCACCACUGUUGUGUCACAGAUAGAGGGACACUGGGGCUGCCACUGCUGCGGUGUCACAGAUAGGCUGCCCUCUCCUGCCGAGCCCCUAUUAGCUCUGCCAGUGCCUUGUGGGACACAGUGCCUGAGUGAAAGGGUGAGAAUUGCAGAAGGGGCUGAACUGGAAGGGAGAUCCAGCGGAAUCGUCAUGUCCAUUACCUGGCCCUGCACAGACAUCAACAAACUCAGGCAGUGCAUCCCUGAGAGCAGCGUCCAAAGCCUCAGCACAAAAAGACUUUCCUGGCACUCUGCCCUGGGCCAGAAGCGAUUGUGCCAGCAGAGCUGACCCUAAAUUUCUUGUCCCAGGAGGAAGAGUUUUGCUGCGGAGCUUACUCUGGCACACAUCCCACCCCCGAUCCGAGGCUUGUCGCGGUACAGUGGUGACUGGAGGAAACGGACAACCCCCAGUGGAACAUUUCUAAGUCAGCUCCAGACAGAAAUCUGAAUCGGAAAUUAACACUAACCCUAAUCCCCAACCGUAAUCCCCAAUCCUAAUCCUAAGUUUUUUUUUCCACGA